rnacentral:rRNA from 1 species
ACGGGUGAGUAACGCGUGGGAAUCUACCCAUCUCUACGGAACAACUCCGGGAAACUGGAGCUAAUACCGUAUACGUCCUUCGGGAGAAAGAUUUAUCGGAGAUGGAUGACCCCGCGUUGGAUUAGCUAGUUGGUGGGGUAAUGGCCUACCAAGGCGACGAUCCAUAGCUGGUCUGAGAGGAUGAUCAGCCACACUGGGACUGAGACACGGCCCAGACUCCUACGGGAGGCAGCAGUGGGGAAUAUUGGACAAUGGGCGAAAGCCUGAUCCAGCCAUGCCGCGUGAGUGAUGAAGGCCCUAGGGUUGUAAAGCUCUUUCAACGGUGAAGAUAAUGACGGUAACCGUAGAAGAAGCCCCGGCUAACUUCGUGCCAGCAGCCGCGGUAAUACGAAGGGGGCUAGCGUUGUUCGGAAUUACUGGGCGUAAAGCGCACGUAGGCGGAUUGUUAAGUUAGGGGUGAAAUCCCAGGGCUCAACCCUGGAACUGCCUUUAAUACUGGCAAUCUCGAGUCCGAGAGAGGUGAGUGGAAUUCCGAGUGUAGAGGUGAAAUUCGUAGA